rnacentral:misc_RNA from 1 species
AGCAGCCGCGGUAAUUCCAGCUCCAAUAGCGUAUAUUAAAGUUGUUGCAGUUAAAAAGCUCGUAGUUGAAUUUCGGGAUCAAUAUGUCGGUCGUGCCUUGGUACGUACUGGUAUCAUUGGUCUCUCCUUUCUGACGAACCAUGAUGUCAUUAAUUUGGUGUUAUGGGAAGUUAGGACUGUUACUUUGAAAAAAUUAGAGUGUUUAAAGCAGGCUUUAGCUUGAAUACAUUAGCAUGGAAUAAUGAAAUAGGACGUUCGAACCUAUUUUGUUGGUUUCUAGGAUCAACGUAAUGACUAAUAGGGAUAGUUGGGGGCAUUAGUAUUCAAUUGUCAGAGGUGAAAUUCUUGGAUUUAUUGAAGACUAACUACUGCGAAAGCAUUUGCCAAGGAUGUUUUCAUUAAUCAAGAACGAAAGUUAGGGGAUCGAAGACGAUCAGAUACCGUCGUAGUCUUAACCAUAAACUAUGCCGACUAGGGAUCGGAUGAUGUUAAUUUUUUAAUGACUCAUUCGGCGCCUUAC